CCUACGGGUGGCAGCAGUGGGGAAUAUUGCACAAUGGGGGGAACCCUGAUGCAGCGACGCCGCGUGAGUGAAGAAGGAUUUCGGUAUGUAAAGCUCUAUCAGCAGGGAAGAAAAAGGCUGUACGUGACUAAGAAGCCACGUCUAACUACGUGCAAGCAGCCGCGGUAAUACGUAGGGGGCAAGCGUUAUCCGGAUUUACUGGGUGUAAAGGGAGCGUAGACGGUUAUGCAAGUCUGAAGUGAAAGCCCAAGGCUCAACCAUGGGACUGUUUUGGAAACUGUAAAACGUGAGUGCAGUAGAGGUAAGCGGAAUUCCUAGUGUAGCGGUGAAAUGCUUAGAUAUUAGGCGGAACACCAGUGGCGAAGGCGGCUUACUGGACUGUAACUGACGUUGAGGCUCGAAGGCGUGGGGAGCAAACAGGAUUAGAUACCCUAGUAGUC
rnacentral:rRNA from 1 species